UCAGAUUUAAGUUUCUUUUAAUUUUAUUACGAAAUGGGCGAUUUAAGUGAAAAGCACAAGAUUGAAAUCUAAAUGAUGAUUGGGUACGGAGAUAGAACAAGAAUCCAAAAUUAAGUGUUGCAUUUAUUCAGUCCGAAGUAUCCUGAUUUACCACCCAUAUCUCAAAGUACUAUAAGCAGGAUUGAAAAACAGUUUCGGUAAAAUGGUCACGUAAGAACAGAAACUAGCGUCAAUCUGCGCUUAAUGAAGACACCAAAAUUAAUGCGUUAUUAGCCAUUGAAGAAAAUACAAAUAUUCCCACUAGGCAGGUAGCGCGCGAAUUGGAAGUGAGCCAGUCUUCAGUAGUAAGGGUUCUUGAAGCAAAAAAAUGUCAUCCCUAUAAACUAACAAUUCUCCAGGAAUUUAAUGAGGAGGAUGCAGGAAACAUUCUCUUUUCCAAUGAGUCGAUAUUUAUGCUGAACGGAGAAAUAAAUCGUCAAAAUUGCCGUUAUUGGGCACAAGAAAAUCCAUGUUGGAUGAGGCAAGGCCACACUCAACACCCAGAAAAAGUAAAUGUUUGGACAGGAACUUUAGGUCAGCAAGUUAUAGGCACAAUUUUCUUCGAAGAAAACUCAAAUGGAGCAAGAAGCUGAUAUGCCGAAUAGAAACAUCAAGCAAGAUGGUGCGCCUUCCCAUUUUGCAAGACCUGUUCGAAACUAUCUGUAGAGGACCUUUUUAAGUAGCCACCAAGAUCGCCCGAUUUGACUCCGCUGGAUUUUUUCCAAGCCGGCAAAUAUUGAGAAGUUGAAAACUAGAAUAAGGCAAGAGUGUCGAAACAUUUCGCCAGUAUGCAUAAGAAACGUUCAAAAUGAAUUUGUAGUACGUUUAGGGCUUUGCCAAAUAGUAAAUGGUUUACAUUUUGAACACUUAUUAAAGAAAAAGAUUUAAAAGGACCCUGCUUAAGUUUAUGAAAUACGUUUUCUUUAACGCCCUGUAUCUUAAAAACAAUCGAAUAAAGGUAUGGCAUGUGAUACAUCAAAAUAUUUGAAAUUUUGUAGGGAAUCCAAAAAUAUAAUCACGUUUUUAUUGUAAAAAAUGCGCAACAGUCUCAAUUGACGUGUCCGAGCGUUUUUCCGAACACGCCCCCAUUUAUUUAUUAUCGAAUAUAUUUCAAGUUACAG